UGUCUUGACCAAAUUUACAUCACACACAAGGACACAAUCCUACCCCCUAAACCAACUUUCCAUAUGACAUGUUUCCGGUUUGUUCGUGUAUGUUUCCGGUUUAGGAAUAAUUAGUUUAGAUUCUUGUGUUUGGCAUAAUAGUUUGUGUGUUUUUAUAAUUUUAUCAAAUAUUAUAUUUCUCUUAUAUUCUGUAUUUGUUUUUGACCGUUGGUGUGUCAUGUGCGAGUGGGAUUUGCCAAAAUUCCAUAACUAUUUAAUGUAUCUUUUGAUGGAAGACUCAUAAUCAAGCGGUCAAACUCAAACAGUGUGUGAAGAGUAAGAAGACCGGUUCGAGCAUAUUUUAAUUACACAUUAGUUUUUCUUUCAAAUCUAACAUAUACUAAAAGGGUUAUAUGAGCAUCAGAGAAGCUGUCCACGUCAGCAAUUAAAUCAGCCAAUCAGGAGGUUUCUCUACGACACGUCAGACACGGAUUGAACAAAGACGAUCCCGACCCCUUUUCUUUUCGUCUUCUCCGUCAUCUUAGUUUCGUGCGAUCGCCGAUCUGGCUUACUAGCAAUCAAUCCCAUCUCCAUUCUUAAAUGCAAUUUGAUCUCAUUAAUGGAGACUCCUGGCUUUCUCGAUCUGAGAUUCUGUAUAUAUAGAUCUCGCACUCCAGCUCUUCUCUUCACCAAAAUCUUAAUAUCUACUCACGAUUAUAUUAUACCUCCGGCGAUGAUGUUAUCCGAUGUUUCCGAGACAGUGCAAGCGAGCAGUGAAGCUACGGUUCCCCCUGUUUCAGUCGAUCCCGUCAAUCAAACCAGUGUUUCCUCCGGCGAUGCCAAAGCCGGCGAUGUCAGUUCCGUGAAAUCAGAAUUUUAAUGUCAGUUCCGGUAGAUCUUACAAAAUUGUUUUCUGGGAGAUGAUGAGUAGAGUAUGCCCUAUAUAUGCAUGCUUAUGUUUUCGAAGUGAUCUGAAUAUUACUUGACUUUGUGCUUUCUUCGGUUUUCCAUAGUCGUAGAAUGCACUGCUUGAGUUUUGCGAGAGUGGUCAAGGCCAAAUAGCAAGUUGUAGAUGGAAUUCUGCAUCAUCUGAAUCUGGAGAUCAAGAAGAGGCUAUAAAGAAGAAGCCAUGGAUGAACUUCAACUAAUUACAUGAGUUUAUACCUGCGAGUGAUGAUGCGCCUACCAUACUCCCUCAGAUCUUGGUUGCCAAAAAGAUUGGAAUUUUGUUCUUUUUUUUUUGUUGGAUUCGCCACACACCUCACCAGCUCCAAUGGCUUGAAUAGUAUUCUAUGUUCUUCUCGACUCAGUUGUUUUCUCCAUCUCUUUCUUUCUGUUCUCUUAUGGUUUUGUUUACAGAGCGUAUCAGCAUCCAGAUGAGCAACUUGGCAUAUAAUUGGGUUUAGCUCCAAGACGGAUCAAGAUUUGGUUUCAGAACCGAAGAACACAGACAAAGGUUUUCUACUUUUUACUUUCUCUCUUCCUCGCUUUGUCUCUUCUCGAAAAAAUAAAUUAAAGAGUAGUCCUUAGUUUUGCUUCUCCAUCGUUUCUUCUUGCAGGCUCAGCUCAAGAGAGCUGAUAAUUGUGCACUCAAGGAAGAGAAUUAUAGGAUUCGUUAUGAAAACGAUGUCAGUAGAGAAGCUCUCAAAUACGCCACCAAAACUCUUACUUUGAUGAACAGAAGCUUUGAAUCGAAAAUGCUUAGAGAAGAGUGAUGUGAACAUGAUUUUCAAAUAUAGUUGGAUAAUAGCCAUCACAGCAGAGAUCAAGAUGGGACACAAGUUAAGAAAGACAACAACGGAUGCGGUGGUGGAAAUUCUUGUGGUGCCGUGUUCUCGCGGUGGUUUGUGGCGAGGUGAGGAGACAGGAGGGAUGAGAAGGGAGAUUGAGCCUGUUGUCUAGAAGUAGAUUACUCCUAUCCGCACUAUCAGAAGUUCUCUGACAAUGUAAACCAGUAAGUUCCUUUCCGAGUUGAUUUUUGUUAACGCUUCUUAGAUGGUUUUAAGGGCUUGCUGAAGUAGACCAUUAUGCAAAUCCAUGGACCUCUGAUUCAUUGUAUUUCCAUAAACUAUUCCUGCAAAACUAUUGUCCAAUUGUUUAAAGCGUUCAUGGACCACAAAGGUCUUAUUAUUCAUACACCUUAUUAAUUGCUUGCAAACGUUUAAUCUUAGGUACUGAUUUUGACUUUUCAAGGGUAUCUACAGGAGCAUCACUUCCUAUUUCUACUUGCUCUGCUAGCCAUCCUUCAAUCCCUUGAAGCACAUAAACAUCAACUCCAAGAGUGAAGAUAGCUUUUACAUUCUUUUGAAAAUAAGGUAGAAAGAUGAUGAUCAAAUUUUUAGUAUGCUAUUAGAAGUUAUAUUAUUAUUGUUUUUCUUUCUGAUUUUAGUUUGAUACAUGGCUUAUUAGAUUUUGGUUGUUAUAUAAUCUUUAUAAGUUCGUCUCUUACAUGGUUUAAAUUGUGGUAGAAGAAAGGAAGAACAAUUAUAUUUAAACAAGAUGAAGUCAGUCACCUUCCUCAUUUUAGCA